UACAUGGGGUGCAAACGUUGCUCGGAAUUAUUGGGCGUAAAGGGCGCGUAGGCGGCCUGUUAAGUCGAACGUGAAAUCCCCGGGCUCAACCCGGGAACUGCGUCCGAUACUGGCAGGCUUGAAUCCGGGAGAGGGAUGCGGAAUUCCAGGUGUAGCGGUGAAAUGCGUAGAUAUCUGGAGGAACACCGGUGGCGAAGGCGGCAUCCUGGACCGGCAUUGACGCUGAGGCGCGAAAGCCAGGGGAGCAAACGGG
rnacentral:rRNA from 1 species